CGCCCGCCCGAGCGGUCUCUGCCCGCGGCUACGCAGCACGGCCCGCCCGCGCCGGCAGAGUCCCUCCUGCCUCACCUGCUCCGGCUUGGUCUCCUCGGAUGUUUUCGGUCGCUUCGAAGAAAGAGGAGGUUCUGCGCUACCUGGGAAGGAGAUGCGUUUGGAGGUUGCAGGAGAGUCUGUCAGCUCCUUCUCUGUUUGGCUGGCCGAUGCUGGAAGGGAAAGGAGAGGACGUCAGACAGCGGCCAGCCCAGGCCGGCUCCCGGCAGCCUGUGCUGGGUGCAAAUCAACACUCAUUUCUAGCGCCGGACUUUCUUCCAACACCAGAGCUCAAGGAUGCGCAACCGGACUGAUGUAUCGAGCACGCUGGAAAAGCAGCGUUUCUUUUCCCCUCCCUGAAUUUGUGUCACUGCUUUGCCAACUGACAGCAGAAAAGAAGGUAGAGAAGUGGCCCGAAAGGCUCCGAGCCAGAGGACACCACAGUCAGUUUAUGCUCAUUUCCCCCCAUCAAGACACGACCCGCUGCUUCCAGGCAGGAGCUGCUGGGCGCUGGGGCACUGGGGCUGAGGGGGCUGGAGAGUUUCACCUGGGGCUUUGCCAGCCACCGCUCGACCAGAGGUGCCCCCCGGCUUUCUGCCUCAGCUGCUGGACUCUCAGCGCGGCACCUCGCAGGCAACACAGAACGGCUGUCAGCUGUGCAGCUGCUCGGCGGCGUGAGUGAAUGGGCACUGAAGCCGAGACCACCCAACUCAUCGCACUCACUCGGAGCUGAAAAGCAAAGCACAGUAUAGAACCCAGUGCGGCGUCAGCGUCCGCGUAGGACCAAAGAGACCAUCGUCUCUCCGUCGAUGCCGAGCGCGUGAUGAAUUGGGACAAGGUGGCAGAGCAACAAAAGUCCUGCUGUAAUAGGAAAUGCCGCAUCCACUGGUGUAGCAGCUCCUGAGGUGGUUCUUCCUUCCAACCAGGACAACCUGCAUUUUCACGAGAUCAGAGCUCUCUAGAAGUGGACACAAGCCAGCUGGGCACACUAGCCCCUUCUCUAGAGCACAGCCAUGUUAAUACCCAGUGACAACCCCACCACGUUCCCCUGGGUGAUACGGGGAGGCCUGGAAGAGUGGGGUUAGCCAGGCUGCCAGCCCCCUUCCUGGCUCACUGCCGCUCCUGUCAAGAGAUGGCACUGAAGUCUACGCAGCUUCUGUACACACUGGACAAAAACUGGACACACGGCUGUACACACUCUCCAUCAACAUGCCGGACGAGGGUCACGACAAGCCACAGUCUGAGGCUUUUGCAAGUUUCUUCCCUCAACAACUUCAAAGGAGCACAGUCGCAAAGUCAAUUUCUACUUCUCUUCUGCCGCUUGCGUACAGGGCAAGUGUAAGCAACUGAGGCUGUGAGGACACCGAGAGAGAAAGUGCUGUGCUUUCCUGCUUUGAAAACUUUUCUAAGCUUCCAUUGCCAGAGAGAUACCCCCGUCUAUACAACACUAUUUAAAACAUCAACUACGGGUCACUCUAAGGCUGCUAUGGUGUCGCGUUGGUGAAGUGGAAGUAGGCGCGCUCCAGGGACAAGCCCCCGAUGAACUGUGCUGGGCACCUUGGGUCUACACUGGCAACAAAAAGCCAAACAAAUGGAAGGGUUACUACCAUGAUGGUUUUUACAACAAUGACAAAUGAACUGGGAAAAUAUCUAGAUCUCUUACAACCGGGCAUGGUUAAAUAACCAAUGGUGUGGCCCUUCUAUUGGGUAUUAGAAGACAAUGAAAAUGACAGCUUUCAAGCAAUGUGGGGAAAAUCCCUGUGAAUGGUAUUUGGAGGGAAAAAAGAAGAUACGAUGUCCAUCAUCCUAUGAUGUAGCUAUGGGGGGAAAAGGUAUUGAAGUAAAAGACUGAAAGAAAAUGAUUGUUAUAUUUAGGUGAUAUCCUCAUGGACCAUUUUCCCAUUUUCUAUGUUUGUCAUGCAGCUAUAUUAUUUUUAAUAUUAUAAUUAAAUAGUUCAGCAUUUACAUUCAGCUGUCCAUGAAGAAGGUGAUAUUUGGAUCCAACUGUGCAAAACAUU